rnacentral:rRNA from 1 species
GAUGAACGCUGGCGGCGUGCCUAAUACAUGCAAGUCGAGCGAGGAGGGGGAGGGAGAGGUACGCGUGGAUAACCUCCUAUAGGACUGCAAUAACUUCGGGAAACCGGUGCUAAUCCUGAUAAUUAUGGUUUGAUCCGCGCUGCAUGAGCUAGUUGGUAAGGUAACGGCUUACAAAGGCAACGAUGCAUAGCCGACCUGAGAGGGGGAUCGGCCACACUGGAAGUGAGACACGGUCCAGACGCCUACGCGAGGCAGCAGUAGGGAAUCUUCCGCAAUGGGCGAAAGCCUGACGGAGCAACGCCGCGUGAGUGAUGAAGGUCUUCGGAUCGUAAAACUCUGUUAUGAGGGAAGCGGUACCUAAUCAGAAAGCCACGGCUAACUACGUGCCAGCAGCCGCGGUAAUUC